UGGUGGCGACCGGCGCACGGGUGCGUAACGCGUAUGCAACCUACCCUGUACUGGGGGAUAGCCCGGAGAAAUUCGGAUUAAGACCCCAUAGUAUUAUUGAAUCGCAUGGUUUGAUACUUAAAGGUUACGGUACAGGAUGGGCAUGCGUCCUAUUAGCUAGAUGGUGAGGUAACGGCUCACCAUGGCGACGAUAGGUAGGGGGCCUGAGAGGGUGGUCCCCCACACUGGUACUGAGACACGGACCAGACUCC
rnacentral:rRNA from 1 species